AUAGAAGACAAAUACAUCGCAUCAUCAUCCACUCAGUGAGAAAUGGCUUUUGCAGAUUUGUGCUGAUGGAUCUAAGGUGUGCACCUCUGGAGGCUUUGAGGUGGCUAUACUUCAGUUGUGGAUAAAGAGGUGAAGAAGGACAUCUAUGGUGAUGCUCAGUAAUAUCUGCGAAGAACUGUGGAGACAGACAAAUAGUCAAAGGUGAGGAGAAUACAGAUGACUUUCAGAAGAAGUGUGAACAUCAAGCUGAGGAGCUUUUUUGAAGAGCAGGAUCUUUCUAUCAACAUGGGAUAGUGGAAGAUUAAAGUAGUGAUGACUACAUAUAGAAAUACAAAGUUGAAGUGAGAGACGCAAGUCUGAUACUGCAAAAGAAAAAUGUAAGAAACUUAGGACUCAACUUUAUCAAUGAGUUCGUUCAACUAUAGAAAUGCACUAGGGACUGAAUGGUGUCCCCCCAAAAUUUAUAUGUCAAAGCUCUAAUCCUCAAUAUGAUGAUCUCCAGAGAUGGAACUUUGGGGUGGUAAUUGGGUUUAGAUGAGGUUAUGAGGAUGGGGUCCUCAUGAAGGGAUUAGUGCCCUUAUAAGGAGAGGCCAGAGUGCUCACUUGUUCGCAUAUGCUCUUGUAUUCUCUCUCUCUCCUCAACCCCCACCAUGUGAGGACACAACAAGAAGAUGGUUGUCUACAAGCCAGGAAGAGAACCUUCACAAGGAACCAAAUCAGCGGGCACCGUGAUCACGAGACUCCCAGCCUCCAGAACUGUGAGAAAUAAAUGUCUGCUGUUGAAGCCAUCCAGUCCACAGUAUUUUGUUACAGCAGCCUGAGCAGAUUAAAAUAAAG
rnacentral:lncRNA from 1 species